rnacentral:lncRNA from 1 species
GCUGGGUCCAGUCUGUCCUCCGCCGUCACGCGGGUGCACGGACCCGUGUGGGGCUGGAGACGCCACACAGGGUCUUUGGGCAAAAGCGCACGUGAGGAUCGGAGGCCCCUGGUGACAGCAGCACACCCUCUGCUUUGGGGAGCAGUGCACGGGGAGAGGCCCAGUGCCCCCUGGAGGAGCUGCGCCUGUCUCCGAGCUCCCUUCUCAGCCUCUGGCAACUUCAAAGGCCGCUUCCUGUAUUGCGGGCACCACCGGCUGCAGCCCUGGAUGAGCGGACGAACGUGGGGAGCAGAGAUGCAGGGAAUCCAGGCGAAGCUUGUGCUCUAUCACUGGAAACAUUUACUCGAAGAUCUUUUUAAGAACAAUGGAUAUAGCAGGUGUGCUGGCACAUGCCCAUGAUCCCAACACCCGGGAGACUGAGGCAGGAGGAUCACCGUGAGUUCAAGCUCAACUUGGACUACGUAGUGAGUUCAAGCCCAGCCUGAACUACAUAGCCAGACCCUGUCUCCAAAACAUAAAUGAAAAAGAACAGUGGAUAUAAGUGGAGCAGCAUACAUAGUGGGAGAGCAGAGGGUGCCAGAGGCUACGAGCAUCCCCUCCCUCCGGUGUCUACAGGGGAGGCAGUGUGUGACUACCUCUGGGUUUGGGGUCCGUCGGGCCCCCACUGUGC